rnacentral:lncRNA from 1 species
ACAAAAGAGCUAAGGGUGUAUGAGAAGACAUUCAAAUUCUAAAGGUAAUGCUUCAGCUACUGCCAUUCUAGUAAUCCAAGACCAUUUCACUAGUAGUCUGGUUUCAGAUUACAUAUUAUUCACUAGUUUUAUGUUGGCUUUCUCCAUUCCAAUUGUUGUUACUUUUUACUUUAGAUACAUGAGGCAAUAACAGCUCGCCUAAGUUAGAGAAGAAAGUGGCGAAGGCAAGACUUGAGAUGUCAAAAGAAUUACAUCGGCGUUCUCACCAAUGCAGCACGAGAUACAUGCCUAGAGGACCGAGAAAGAAAGACUUUUUAUCGUUAUUUGUAUAUUCAAGAUCGAUUGAUAGUCCCAUUAUGGUUCCUGUACGAUAAAAACAUAAGAUAGCUCAACAAAUUUAUAUGAAAAGUACUAAUAAUUUCUCUACUCA